AUCUCAUAUAACAAACGCUGCACAGAGACGUUAGAGAGAACUGCUUGUUUUAGACAGAGAAGUUAGAGAGAGAGAGAGACUGAAAAUGUCAGGAAUCAUGGGCAAGAUUGGAGGUGCCCUCCACAUUGGAGGCGACAAGGACAAAGAUGAAGACCACCACAAGGACAAAGAUGGCGACCACCACAAGGACAAAGAUGACCACCACCGCAAGGAGAAAGAUGACCACCACCACAAGGACAAAGAUGACCACCACCACAAGGACAAAGAUGACGACCACCAUAAGGAAGACGACGAAGAUGACCACAAAGACAAGGGCGAGAAGAAGAAGAAGAAGAAGGACAAGAAAGACAAGAAGGACAAGAAGGAUGAUAGCAGCGACAGCGAUUAAUCCGUCGCAUGUGCAUGCAUCUGCCCAAUAAUUAGGUGUUUGGGGCGUCAAGAGAGCAUGCUCAACUCCUGUUUCCUUUACGUCGCAGCCAAUACUUAAAUUUCAAGAAGAAAAAGGCUUGUUUCACAGCCCAACCAAAAACCAAGAACCAAAAAGAAUGUGUGUAUUUGCUGAAUACUGUUACUAGCCACAUGUAAAAUGUUUCUGGCACGUUUUGAAUAUAUGAUUUAAUGUGAAACCUUCGUAAGCCUUUGAUAUGAAAUAAUAUUUUGGAUGAAUGCUCACUGCUUA